UUAAGCUAGAUGUGAAAGCCCCGCGCUCAACGUGGGAUGGUCAUUUAGAACUGGCAGACUAGAGUUUUGGAGAGGGGAGUGGAAUUCCAGGUGUAGCGGUGAAAUGCGUAGAUAUCUGGAGGAACAUCAGUGGCGAAGGCGACUCCCUGGUCAAUAACUGACGCUCAUGUGCGAAAGUGUGGGUAGCGAACAGGAUUAGAUACCCUGGUAGUCCACACCGUAAACGCUGUCUACUAACUGUUUGUGGAUUUAAUC
rnacentral:rRNA from 13 species